CCUGCGCUUCUCUAUUCGUCCCUUAGUUUCACUUGUGUAUCGAUCUGAAGAUCGGAUUGUUCCUCCCUCCUCUUGGAUUGGUCGAGUCAUCUUUGGACUUAUUAAAUCUUUAAAGAUGUUGUUGUUUAAUUUCAGGGAAAUCUAAUGUUUUUAGAUCGAUUAUAUACAUCAGAAUCUUCUUUUGUUGAAGCGAGGUCCUUUGGCUAUCCCUGUUCUAGUUUUGGGCGUUAGUUUGCUUCGGAUCAUAGGUUCUCCGGUGAAUCGGAGCUCCGAUGACGAUCUCUGAGUACUCGACAGUAGUAAGCCGUGGGAUUUGACCUUCAAGGACAUGUGUGUCCACCUCGCUAUGCGACUAUCACGUGUCUUCGAGCUGCAUGUUGGCUCGUCUUCCCUCCGCGUGGCCGAUUAGUCUUUCUUCUAUCUGGGUCUGGUUGGGCCUGCUUUGGAAUUUAGAUUGUGUAAUUUUAUAUUUCGUCUGGCUUUACUGUAAGCCUCAGUUUUCUUGUACUUGAACUUUUAAGUUAACUAGG
rnacentral:lncRNA from 1 species